rnacentral:rRNA from 1 species
GAUGAACGCUGGCGGCGCGCCUAAUACAUGCAAGUCGAGCGACGAAACAGUUCUUCGUAAGAAGAGCUGCUGAAAGCGGCGAACGGGUGAGUAACACGUGGGCAACGUGCCCCUGACUCUGGGAUAACAACGGGAAACCGUUGCUAAUACCGGAUAAACCUGCAGCACCGCAUGGUGCAACAGGCAAAGUUUUUCGGUCAGGGAUCGGCCCGCGGCCUAUCAGCUUGUUGGUGGGGUAACGGCCUACCAAGGCAUUGACGGGUAGCUGGCGUGAGAGCGCGGCCAGCCACACUGGGACUGAGACACGGCCCAGACUCCUACGGGAGGCAGCAGUAGGGAAUCUUGCGCAAUGGGCGAAAGCCUGACGCAGCGACGCCGCGUGUGGGAUGAAUGCCUUCGGGUUGUAAACCACUUUCAGCAGGGACGAAGCCUCACGGUGACGGUACCUGCAGAAGAAGCCCCGGCUAACUACGUGCCAGCAGCCGCAGUA